GACGAACGCUGGCGGCGUGCCUAACACAUGCAAGUCGAACGGAGAUAUGAUUUCGGUUGUAUCUUAGUGGCGAACGGGUGAGUAACGCGUGAGCAACCUGACUCUUAGAGGGGGAUAACACUCGGAAACGGGUGCUAAUACCGCAUAAGAGCACGACAUGGCAUCAUGACGAGGUCAAAGGAGCAAUCCGCUGAGAGAGCGGCCCGCGUCUGAUUAGCUUGUUGGUGAGGUAAUGGCUCACCAAGGCGACGAUCAGUAGCUGGUCUGAGAGGAUGAUCAGCCACAUUGGGACUGAGACACGGCCCAAACUCCUACGGGAGGCAGCAGUGGGGAAUCUUGCGCAAUGGGCGAAAGCCUGACGCAGCCAUGCCGCGUGAAUGAUGAAGGUCCUAGGAUUGUAAAAUUCUUUCACCGGGGACGAUAAUGACGGUACCCGGAGAAGAAGCCCCGGCUAACUUCGUGCCAGCCGCCGCAGUAAGAC
rnacentral:rRNA from 1 species